GCUCCGUUUCUGUGAGUGGCGCUUGCUCUUGCCUUGAAGAUCAUAGCUUGUGUAAAAACUGAUUUGGGAAAGAAGAGGAAGAAAUUCGCAUCUCUUGUAUGUUCCCUACCCUCUGGUCAUUGCUGAUCAAAUUUAUUUGCUUGUUAAUGUUGGAUGGUUCCUGAAGCUUGUUUCAGCCAUACAUGUUAGUUCUCCAUGGACAUUUUUUCCUCUUGAUGUUACUCUAUGACCUUCACUUAGAGAAGUGGACAAGCAGAGAAAGAGUAUUUGCUGAUGAGGACAAAAGAAAGCACGAGGGGUGCAAGAAAGAUGUGUUCUUGUUGUCUUUAUGGUUCAACCUAAUCCUAUACUGGAUCCCAAUGAUGAUUUAGAGUAUGACACAUGUCAAAUGACUGAUGGCUACAUUAUUCAACAUGUCAGAGAUUGUUGGCCACUACAUGUCAAAUAACUUGUGGUUGCUGAAGGUUUGACCAAACAGUUCAACUAGAAGGAUAAGGUUCUGCCUUUGUGUAUCAGAAUUCUAUCCCAGAUAUCUAAUCUACCUUUGCUGUCUGUAAUUGCAAGAGUGGUAUCAACGUUUCCAAGUUUUAACUUUGCAGGUCUUAUUCUAGUUUGUCAAUAUUUAAGCUAACCCAGUUGCCCA